GGGUUGUGAGGUUAAGCGACUAAGCGUACACGGUGGAUGCCCUGGCAGUCAGAGGCGAUGAAGGGCGUGCUAAUCUGCGAUAAGCGCCGGUAAGGUGAUAUGAACCGUUAUAACCGGCGAUACCCGAAUGGGGAAACCCAGUGUGACUCGUCACACUAUCAUUAACUGAAUCCAUAGGUUAAUGAGGCGAACCGGGGGAACUGAAACAUCUAAGUACCCCGAGGAAAAGAAAUCAACCGAGAUUCCCUCAGUAGCGGCGAGCGAACGGGGAGGAGCCCAGAGCCUGAAUCAGCAUGUGUGUUAGUGGAAGCGUCUGGAAAGGCGCGCGAUACAGGGUGACAGCCCCGUACACAAAAGCGCAUAUGCUGUGAGCUCGAUGAGUAGGGCGGGACACGUGGUAUCCUGUCUGAAUAUGGGGGGACCAUCCUCCAAGGCUAAAUACUCCUGACUGACCGAUAGUGAACCAGUACCGUGAGGGAAAGGCGAAAAGAACCCCGGUGAGGGGAGUGAAAAAGAACCUGAAACCGUGUACGUACAAGCAGUGGGAGCACCCUUUGGGGUGUGACUGCGUACCUUUUGUAUAAUGGGUCAGCGACUUAUAUUCUGUAGCAAGGUUAACCGAAUAGGGGAGCCGGAGGGAAACCGAGUCUUAAUUGGGCGUUAAGUUG
rnacentral:rRNA from 1 species